rnacentral:rRNA from 1 species
UACGUAGGGGCAAGCGUUAUCCAGAAUCACUGGGCGUAAAGGGCGCGUAGGUGGUCUGUUAAGUCUGGCGUUAAAGCCUGGGGCUCAACCCCAGAUCAGCGUUGGAUACUGGCAGGCUAGACGGUUGGAGAGGCGAGUGGAAUUACCAGUGUAGCGGUGGAAUGCGUAGAUACUGGUAGGAACACCCAUUGCGAAGGCAGCUCGCUGGACAACACGUGACACUGAGGCGCGAAAGUGUGGGGAGCAAACCGGAUUAGAUACCCCGGUA